ACACUUCAGGCUCCUCCAUGUCGUAGCCCAAGAAUCAUCCUUGACACUCAUUGGCCAGAUGUCUCCACAAGGCAUCUCAAGCAUGCUUAGCAUGAGGAUGAUCAAAAAGUGCCGAGGAACCUACUCUCCUCAAUAUCAUCUCACCCAAUCUACCGAGGAGGAGGCCCCAGAAGACAUUACUGAUGAUGUCCCCCUACAGCACGAGGACCCACUGUCUCAGCCACCACACCCUCUCAUCCAGUUCAUGCGGCGGCUUCAUAUGCUGACAUUUUUCAGCGCCUCACUCAAUUUGAGCAGCAGUGUUUUCAAUGAUUUCACAACAUUGAUGCUACUCUACAGCAGAUCUGUCAGCACCUCCACAUCUCAUCGCC
rnacentral:lncRNA from 1 species